AUUUUUGAUUCGAUAUUGUAUAAAAAAGAAAAUUUUUUGGAAAAGAAUUUUUUUAAAUUUGGCAUUAACAUGGGUAAUGAUAGAAUGUGUGAUAAUAACAUGGUUGAUUGUGAUACUACUAACUUGAAAACUCCAAAUAACAAAAAAAAAUCAUCACAUUAUCAAAAAAAAAACCAAAAAAAAAUACAACAACAAAAUUAUAAACGAACAGAAAAAGAAACUGACGCCAUGUACAACAACUUGUGUAAAAACAUUUGCAACAUGAUUAAACAAGAAAUUGUAACUGAUAUUGAAAAGAAAAGCGCAGACAUUAAUAAGAAAAAUAUAAAAAGGAAAACAAAAGAAAGUCAAAAAACGUACGGAGCUAACAUAAUUAAAUUAUUAAUUAUAUUAUUACCAGAAAAAUACAUAGAAAUAAAUAUAUUAACAUUUUUAGAAGGUUUAUUUAAUGGAGAAACAUUUGAAGAAAACGAAGUAGAUAAAACAUUUAUUUUUAAAAAAAAUUAUUUAUUUAUGGUUAUGUCUUUUUUUAAUAAAUUCAUAAAAGGAUUACAAGAAAAAAAGGAUAUUAAUUUAAGAUUUUUACUUAGUAUUAUAUACAAAAUGUUAAUAAAAGCUAUUUAUUUUUUUAAAGGAGAUAAUUAUGAAAAAUUAUGUUUAGUUAUGAAAAAUCAAAAUAUACUACAAUUUAACAACAAUAUAUCAUCAGAUCCUGUUACAAGUUUUUAUAAUCUUAAACAAUGCUUACAAUUUAAUUUAUUAAUAAAAAAGGAAAAAGAAUUUUAUUUAGGUAAUAAUUAUAAUCAACAACAAAUAUUAUAUCAUGACAAAAAAAAAAAAAAUAAUCUAGAUUUAAUACAAGGUACCUUUCGAGAAAAAAGUAUCUACAAAUAUAUCAAUAGUAAUAAAAAAUAUGAUUUCCAAAUACAUGCACAGAUAUUAGCAAAAUAUGCUUUAAAAUUGUUAUUAUUUGCUGUUAAAUCUUCAACUAAAUGGCUUCAAAUGAGUAAUAAUGAACAGCUACAUAAAAAAAAUAAUGUCUCUGUAUAUGACCCAAGUAGUACCAUGGCUCUUUGCAUAAGCAAUCAGAACCAGGAUGAGAACCGGAACGAGAACCAGAACCAGGACCAGAACCAGGACCAGGACCAGAACCAGGACCAGAACCAGAAUCAAAACUACAGCCAAAACAAAAACGACUCGACUACAGGAAAUAGUACUAUCACAGAAAUACUUACCAAAUUAAACCAGAGUAAUACAAAUUUAGGUUUAAUUGAAUAUGUUAAUUUAAUUGAACCAUUACUUGUUUAUUGUUUUUGUGAUGGUAAAGAUGACGUUUUUAUUUUAUCAUCUAAUUGUAUCAAAUUAAUUAAAAAAAAAAAAUAUAGUACUUUCACAAAAUAUGGAUCGUUAAUUAUUAUCUCUUCGGUUAAUAUAUUGAAAAAUAUUCCAAACUAUUAUAGUCAAGAAUUUGAUAAACUUAUUCUAUCAUGUAUUGAUACUUUAACUUAUUUUUUAAAAAGUAAUAACAGUAGUGACAUUGUGUCUUGGCUUAAUUAUCCUAUAUCGCAGAGAAAUGAAUCUAGUUAUAAUAAUAAUAAUAAUAAUAAUAAUAAUGGCGCAGGUAACAAUAAUGUAAUAUAUAACAAUAAUUACGACUUAAGUACAACUGCAAAUAGUUUAUAUAACAGGAACAAUAACGCAAGAAAAACUCUUGUGAUAGAAGCUCGAUCAGAGUUAGAACAAUUAUUAUUGGAAAAAAAAAUGAUUGAAAACGAAACACAUAGUGAAAUAAAAGAAGAGCAGCUAUUAAAAAGAAAUAAAAUAACUAAUUUACUCGAAGAAAAUAUAAUAUCAUUAUAUUAUUCUAAACAGUGGAAAUAUGAAGAUGCAUAUGAAACAUAUGAUGAUAGUGAGACUAUAAAAUCUUUAAGGUACUGUUUACUAGAUCAAAUAUUUUUAUUAUUAGAUAGUAAAAAUCAUAUAUGGGAACUUUUAUUGCUUUUUAAAAACUGUUUACUUCGUGAAGAUAUAAAUAAUAUUAUUAAAAACGGUACACUUUUAUUAAAAAUGGAUGAAUGUUUUGAAAAAAUAUUUUCUAUUAUGAUUCAAGAAGCACAU
rnacentral:lncRNA from 1 species